AAUGUAACAAUGCCCUUAAAAUUUCAAGACUAAAUACACCAGAUUAGAAAAAUAUUACUACAAAAAUGACCAAACAUGUUAGACACUAAUCCAAUAAAAGGAAGUGUAUGGCAAGUGAAAGUUGAGUUGUAUAAAAAUGGCAACCUUAGGACCAAUGAAGAAUGAUGCCCCUCGUAAGGAUAAAAUCUUUAGGAUGUGACUAUAAAGUGUAAUUGUGCUACUUUAUGAG
rnacentral:lncRNA from 1 species